ACGAUGAUGAUAAUGCUACUGCUGGACCAUCCUCCAACAGUAGUAAUUUGGUUUCUGGCCCUAAUUCUAAUGGAGUUAGUCAACCACUUUCAGAUGGCCAGAUCUCUGGUUCUGAAACUGGAGAUUUGCAAGAUGAUUAUGUUUAUGAUGAGGCAUCUGGGUACUACUAUAGCAGCAGUUCAGGUUACUAUUAUGACCCAUCUACAGGAUUGUACUGUUAUGCAACAUCAGGGAAAUGGUACUCAUUCAAUGAGGAGACUGGCACAUAUGAUGAAAUCCAAGAAGUUUCCUCAACUGCAAACUAAAGGAAUCAGUUAUUUUCGCUCGCUUGUGGAAUUUGUACAGUCUACCA
rnacentral:misc_RNA from 1 species